UACGAAGGGGGCUAGCGUUGCUCGGAAUUACUGGGCGUAAAGGGCGCGUAGGCGGAUGUUUAAGUCAGAGGUGAAAGCCCAGGGCUCAACCCUGGAAUUGCCUUUAAUACUGGCGGCCUUGAGUAUGGCAGAGGUGUGUGGAACUCCGAGUGUAGAGGUGAAAUUCGUAGAUAUUCGGAAGAACACCAGUGGCGAAGGCGACACACUGGGCCAUUACUGACGCUGAGGCGCGAAAGCGUGGGGAGCAAACAGG
rnacentral:rRNA from 1 species